AAAAUUGAUUUUUAUGAACAAAAAUAAUUUUAAUAUUAAUUAAAAAAUAGGAUCUACCUGUACAGGUAUGUACAGAAAUUUACCAAGUGACUUGCAGUGAUUAUUUAAGUUUGACUUUGAUGUUUCUGUCAGUUAGUCAGUUGGCAUUUUUCGUUUAAAUAUUUGCUUAAAAUGGAAGAAAUUCCACAAAAUAUAAGAGAAAAGGCCAUAAAAGCGACCGAAAAUCUUUUGCCAGUUAAAUCAAGGCAACAGUAUGAUUGGGAGUAUGGCAUAUUUGGUAUUUGGAAAGAUGCCAAUGCAAUUGUUCAAAUAACCGAAACCGUUCUAAUGGCAUAUUUUCAGGAACUGUCGGAAAAAUACAGUCCAAACUCUCUCUGGACCAAUUAUUCUACACUUAGGUCUACGUUAAUGGUCUAUAAAAAUAUAGACAUCUCGCAAUACCAUCGUCUCAUAUCUUUUUUAAAAGUUAAGUCGAAAGGAUAUGUCCCAAAGAAGUCUAAAGUUUUGGAAGGAGAACAAAUAAUAAAAUGUAUUAAGAAGGCUCCUGAUGAUAUCUACUUGGUACACAAAGUCAUAUUGGUAAUGGGUAUUUUUGGAGGUUUAAGACGAGACGAGUUGGUCAAAAUGACCAUUGAUGAUAUUGAAGAUAGAAGAAAGAACGGUCUUGGUUAUAAAGGUACCAGAAACUAAAGCUUCAACUUUUUUUUAGUAAAGUUUUACUAUCAUUGAAGAAGAUUUAGGCGCUUUAAAUUUAAUAAAAAACUUUAUUUCCAAAAUAAAAAUUACAAUUUUGAAAUGUCCCGGAAAAUGUAGCUGAGCCCACUAUAGAAUGGUCGGUCUUUUUUGUGAUGGUAGUGGUCGCAGCACUAACGCUAUUUUGUAUAGUUUGUAAAUUGUCCAUUAAAAUUAUUUUUGUAUAAAA